GCCAGGUGUGGUGGUGCACACCUGUAGUCCCAGCUACUCAGGAGGCUGAGGCAGGAGGAUUGCUUGAGCCCAGGAGGUUGAGGCUGCAGUGAGCCAUGAUCGUGCCACUGUACUCCAGCCUGGGCAACAGAGCAAGACCCUGUCUUAU
rnacentral:SRP_RNA from 1 species